CUCUUUCUGAUUCAUGUCUCGGUCUUCCACAGCUUUUAUAGGAUUUCAUUUGCUCUCCUUUCUCCCCUUUUUCUAGGGUUUGUUCUAGGGUUUUUGUUUUCGUGUCUCUCCGAUCGACGUGAUUCUCUACAAAUCACCUCUCCUCCAGACGAUCUCUGAAUCCAAUCUACUGGGGAUUUUAUAUAAGAUCACAGCUGUGUAGGCUUUGAUAUUUUGUAGAUGCCCGUGGCAAAACUAAGAGCUUGUAGCAUUUCUGAUGCAAUGAAGCCUGAACAGAAGGUUGGCAAGCCAGAGAAGGAAGGGCACGAUUCCCUCGACGGUUUCAUUAGACAAGCAAUGGCAAAAGAACCAUUCUUUCCUUUCUCGAGGGCUGGUGAGAGCCCAGUCCAGUGGAUCCAACUGCUUCACGCUUUAGACCAACAGGGAACCAACAACUUUUCCAAUGGUCCAAAGGUUGAUAAUGCUAUAGAAGGGAAGGAACAUUCACUAGAGCAUUGCAAUGGUGUGAGUUCAUUUGCAUCUGAGAUAAAUGGGGCAAAGGAAUCUGGUCAUGCUAUGAGGGCUAGCGGAAUACCUGUAAAGGGGACAAAGAGCACUUCUGAACAAAUGCAAACCCUCAAAAUUCCUGAGGCUGUCGUUGCCUUUGCUCAGGCCACUGCUAAGGCCAAUGGUGACCCUGAAAAAUAUCUUCCAGGUUGGCCCUUGUUGUCGCCUCUUAAGGUGCAGAUGCAAAAGUGCGAUAAGUGUUCUCGAGAAUUCUGUUCCCCCAUUAACUAUCGACGGCACAUACGUGUACAUAGGCGAUCUUUGAACAUCGAUAAGGAUUCUCCUAAGAACAGGGAAUUGUUGGGCGCAUUUUGGGAUAAGCUAUCUUUGGAUGAGGCAAUGGAGAUUGCAUCGUUGAAGAAUGCGACACUAGAGGAAGUUACUGGAUCUUCAAUUAUAAAGGCAUUGACAUCACUUAUCAGAAAACCUGGGUUUUCUUCACUGCCACAUGUUUAUGUAAAGGCUGGUGCUGCUCUUCUGGACAUUAUCCAAGCUAGUCCUUCCAGGUUUCCCAUAUCCUCCCAGGAACUUUUCAGUCUACUUGAUGAUGCCAGUGAGAAGACCUUCUUGUGUGCUGGCACAGUGACAUCUAUGCAAAAGUUCGUAUUUGAUGGGGAAGCAUCGAAGAUUGGUCUAGAGAUGAAGAAUCUAGUUGCUUGCACUAGUUUGCUGGUGGAGCAGAAACUGGUUAAAGCAUGGCUCGCUGAUAAGGAUGCUGAAGCUCUAAGGUGCCAAAAGUUGCUGGUGGAGGAAGAGGAAGCUGCUCAAAAGAGGCAGGCUGAACUCUUAGAAAGGAAGCGGCUGAAGAAGCUGAGGCAGAAAGAGCAGAAAGCGAAGGACGGGGACAAGGUAGAUUUCAAAGAGUGCUCUCCAGAUAAUGCUGAGGGUUCAUCUUCUUCUGCAGCACUGUCUAAUCCAGAUACCCCCUCGGAAUCUGAUUCAAAUCCACCGGAAGCAUCACUGGAACCUGUCCAACUGUUUCCAGAACCUGUCAGAUCUUUGGAUGCUGACAUGGAAGUGGAUGUCAGGUGCUGCUCAGGAUCCGACUUGGCCAAUGGUCAGAAUGGAGAGUACAGAGCCCGAAUUCAUAUGGGAAGCAGCCAGCGGCAGUUUUCUCGAUGGCCGGCGCCGAAACUUCUGAGGAACACACUGAAUGGUUCUCAUUUGGGUCAGGUUCCGGUGCCAAAGUCGGUAGUCAUGCAGAAGCACUGUAGCUAUAGAGAUCAGCAGAAAGCCGCACCUUCAGUCAAUGGCCAUAAGGUGUGGACCCGCAAAACCAAGGUUGAGGGCGAAGGAGAUGGUUGCAAUUCGAAUGGUAGAAGACCAAGGGAAUCCAUAAACCAACUGGAACAGAAUGACAACUGUGAGCUCUUGAUUGGUUCGAUUUGUGUCACCCUUGGAAGUUCCAACAGCCACCAUCAAGAUGAUAAUCAGGCGGCUGCUCUUGAUCAGUGUUCGGCCGAUCAUCAUCUCCUGAGAUGUGAUGGUGUCCAAGAGAAGCCUGCCAAGCAAGACUCAGGUCAGAAUGGUGUGAACCGGCUCAUGGUGAAGCUGUGGAGGCCAGUGGGCCGGCAGGAAUUUGAUGGAGGCCCUGUGGUGGUUCAAAGCAGCAAAAGAGAAGUCGAAACCAAUGGAGUUUCUGGCACAACUGUUGAAAGGAUUCUGUCAGAUGAGAGCUGUCUGGCCUGUCGUGUGAUUGCUGAUAGCUGUUCCAGUAGGUCUGAGGAUUCUUUUAGAGCUGCUGACGGUGGAGAAUAUAGCCGUGCUGCAGAGGCUUUUCUUGCCCAGCGAUGGAAGGAGGCUAUGGCCACAGACCAUGUGAAGCUGGUCCUUACCCCUGAAACUGAAACUCCAGAGUGCCUCGAGAUUCUUGAUGGCCCUUGCACGGAGGAACCAUCACCAUCGGAUGGUCGCAGCAUCCUUGGCAGUGCAGAAAACCGGCUGGCUGGGGUGGGCCAGGCUGCAGCCGGUGGUUCUGAUAAGCCCAAGUUCAGAGCAAAGGCUGAGAAAGGUUGCAGGCUUAAAUACAUUCCCAAGAAGAGAAGCAAUGGCUGAGGUAAUCUACAUGGUAGUUCUAACUGCCUGUUGCUUUAAUCUUCACCACAUGGUCUGGAGUGGCAUGUUGAAUAUGGGUUUAGCUAACCUCACAUACAUUUAUAUGUUCUAGAGUAUCUCAAGGUAGUUGGUCUUCUUUUCAACAUAGAGGUCCCAAUCAAUACACUGAAUUCACUGGCCUUGUGAUUACUCCACAAGUUUAGCAUAAAGAAAGGAGAAAACCUCAGCACUGUCAUUUGGCUCGACUUUUCUAAGGCAACAAUUUCAAGACAUGGUCCGAAUAAUUAGUCUCUAAUGCAGCUACCUUAUUCUGGGAAAUUCCUCGAAGAAACGGCAAUGAUAAGCACGACUAGUUAUCUUUGUUUGAAGUCUCCGGGAGGUUGAAUUUUUUAUUUCGAUAACCCGUGAGUGUAUUUUUACUUGUUUUGAAGCUUAAGUGCUGUUUAGUUGUAGUUUGCGAUAUUGAGUUGAAAAUGAUUCACGGCAAAAAGAUUCAGAAACAGUGGGAAUUCAAGAAGAGAGAGAAUGGCAUUGAUUCUUUAAGCAAUGGAUGUGAAUCGAGCUCCAGUGCUGAACCGAUCUUUAAGAAGCAUAAGUCUAUCUUGAAUUUGAAAUCACCUGAAGCCGCAGAAGGUCGUGAUAUCGGUAGCCUUCAGUUUGAGAGAAGACCCAAUAAGAUGAAGAGAAGAUCAUCUCACGAAGAUGGGUUGAAGAACAAGAGUAGCCAGUGCGAACCUGCCACAACGAAUAUUAUCCGCAAUUUCAUGGAGACAGUAUUGGAGGAACUUAGAGUCGGGAGAGAGGCCAUGUUGGUGUCAAUGAGGAAAGAGGUGCACAAAAUGAUGAAAGAUACUGCUCCAAUGCUGACAACAACGGGUGUUCUUAAGCGGGAUCGGAUUGGAACCCACCAUCAGAGCAGCAUUGGGUCGUUGGCAAAUGUUCAGAACUGUGAUCAUGGAAGCAUGGUGGUGCCCACCAAACGGAGAAGGGAUGCCGGUUGUCAGACUGAUGCUGAAGUCCUUGAAAAAGAAGACGGUCACAGCCAAACUGUUGGAGUUUUGAACAGAACUGAGCCUGGAAGAGGACAAGGACGGCGGUUGUCUAUUAGGGGACCUUCGCUCCCCGCCAAUUCCAAUACAACCGAUUCUUCUACGCAAUUCAAUUAUCUAACUCUACCCACCGUUGUACCUGAGACCUGCAUCGAAAACCAAAGAUUCAAUCCUCUUUCAUGCAACUCUCUUGGAACGAAAGCGGUGGGGAACGGAACCUGCACUGGAAAAGUAAAUCUGGCAGUUGAUUCAAGUGUGCAAUGUGGUAGCUUUGUGGGCCCCCCACAUGAAGAAAAGUUCAGAAAUACCAGCCAGACAGGUUCUUCUCAAUAUAGUACGGGUUAUAUCAGUCAAGACAAAAUGACCGCAUUGUCUAAUCCUGGAUCUGGGUUUCUUGCCCCGUUCUAUCACAGUCCUGAUGGCAGUUUGAAGAUCCACUCCCAGCUCCCGAAUUUAUUUGAUUUGGGUGUCAAUGGACGGACAGGAUCAGCUAGGGGACACGGGCUAAUGGAAUUCUAUGUUGCUAAUGAUCUUUUCAACAUUGCGAACUCGAAAACUGAGGAUGUGUUGUUUCAAGGUAAUCUGACAAGUAGGUCCCAGAGAGAGUAAGUUAUACAUGAGUUAGAUGUGUCGAGAUUGAAUUCUUAGUGAUUAGCCUGGAUUGAUUUCUUGCUUCUUCUGUCCAUUUAAGUUCAAAUGCAAAUGAAUUAUGAAUAAAAACGCAGGCUUAUCCCUUUCUGUGUUCA